UACGGGGGUGGCGAGCGUUACUCGGAUUCAUUGGGUGUAAAGGGCAGGUAGGUGGCUAUGUAAGUUGGAGGUGAAAUCCUUUGGCUCAACCAAAGAACUGCCUUCAAAACUGCAUAGCUUGAGGCUAGAAGAGGAGAGCGGAAUUCCCGGUGUAAGGGUGAAAUCUGUAGAUAUCGGGAGGAACACCAGUGGCGAAAGCGGCUCUCUGGUCUGGCUCUGACACUGAGCUGCGAAAGCUAGGGGAGCAAACAGG
rnacentral:rRNA from 1 species